rnacentral:lncRNA from 1 species
CGAGAGAGCAGCUUGCGGCACUGGCCCGUCACCAGAUAGGAGGACAGCCGAGUUCCAAAACUUCCAGCAGGUCAUGUCGUUGAGAAAAAGCCAGCGAUGUUGCAUAACGUUGGUGCUGGUGUUAACCUCUUCAGUAAGUCAAGUUUUAAACCAAAAGCUACGCUGCGUCCUCUCCCUAGUGAAGAAUUGCUUUAUACAGCGGCUACGGGCGAGCACAUCUCGAUGACGACUUCAGCCAUCCAGGGACAUGACACAGCUGAACCAUGAUCGAGGAAGUUGGCUUUAUAUGAUGAAAGGAAUACUUUAUUGCGUUGCUUCUUUCUGCGGUGGCGUUUUUUGUAGCCGGAGUGAUCGCCUUUUGUCCUUGAAUUUCCUUCGGUCCAGGUGGGAGGCGACCGUCAUUUACCCCGGCUAGGGGAAACCAGGGGUUCUGCAGAAUUUCAAACCCUUCACAAACUUUCUGAACACGUCUCCGAAAACCUUAUGUCUGCAUUAUAUUUAGUUCCCCUCAGUAAGCGUUUCAGUUCCUUUUACCGCUUGCCACUCACGUUGGGUGCGCUCGACCAUAUACGGUGUCUCGGUACGCGCAGCUUCUUGCCAGUCUACGUAUUUGUCAGGCAGAAAGCGAUUUGAGCGCGCGAAAGCGAGGGGCAGCCUCCCGUAACCAUCUCAGCUACCGAUGAAACCUUCACUAAUGCGCGGUGUGGUCGCAUGGGGACGGUCAACUGUCUGUGAGUCCCUUUGCAAAUUACGGCAGGAGAGGGCCGCCGGUCGCCGGCUGCUAUUGCACUUUGUCGAAGGUUGCCAGCUCCGCAAGGCAAAGAGGAGGUCACCAGGCAGAGCGGAGUUCUGUCAGCCCUUACUUCACUCAUCCAAAGGUCUACAGUUUUGUGCAGCAGCAGUCGAUUUGGCUCACAUUUCUGUCCCAGGACGACUGUUUUAUACGCUCGUGCCAUUUCAAGGUGCGGAUGUCACUAAAAGCCGCUCAAGAGGAAGUCAUAUCCUCUGAGGACCCGGAGGCGUUACUGGUUCUCUGCUGCGGAUACCGCGUCGAGGGACCAGCCGUUUUUCCAAUGCAGAAGGGCCGUUGCCGGUGUUCAAAAAUCGCCUGGGGUGAGCAGUCGAAACAGGGCGAUCCACGGACGCGCCACCUUUGGGAAGAAGCAUUUUUCGCUGAAGUAGACGUAUCAAAAUAUCUCCCUUGUCGGCUGCAUGACGCACAAAACGCUUGCAUGUUAUAAGCCUCCCCCAGGACUUGUGGGCCUCCCGAUACCGUGGAAACACUGUGUAGAGUAAACGCACACCGUCAUCAUAUCUCGAUCAGAAGAUUUGGCUUGGAAAAUUUCUCCUGUUGCCGAUGCAGCUCCUCCAGCUUGCGUUCAAGGAAUUCGAUCCGAGUUCUCUGUGACUGCGUCUUGAUCGCAAUUGGCAUUGUUGUCAGCUCGUACUGAAUGAGGAGUUCACACACAAUCAUAUCAGCACUCUCUUGUAAUGGUUCGAGUCACAUAAACAGUAUAAGUUUUGUAAUCCACUGUCCGGCAACUGCACCCGGAUAAAAUAUAUAUGCAUAGCAACUGAUGUUUUUACUCUAUAUCUAGCGUACCUCUGCCGCCCGCUCCUCUGACCGCAAUCUCUCUAUGAGGCUCAGCCUUUCCUCACUGCUCAACCUACGCAUCCCCGGCGGCAGUUUCCUGGCUUCUGCCUCUUCAUGUUCUCUCCGUCGUUGCUCCUCUAGCUUCGUCUUUAUUUGCUGCGUACCGUUGUAGGUACCACCAUCACACACACAUGCACACUGCCCGUCUCAUGUCGAACAGCCCUCUCUUUCCGUGAAUCCCGGCCUGCACCAACGAUAGUGUUGCGUCUGUGCUCAGAAUCAGUGGUUAACACGACUUGAAGCCUAAGUAUGGUGUUUCAGGUAACCAACGCAGAAAUGAACGGAAGCAGACCACAAGCGGAUGCAAUCAAUGAUAGCAUCGCCACGAAGAGAAACUCGAGAUGAGGUUGCUCGCCAUGCUUUUGGGCAGCACGCAAACCACACUUAUACUCCCUAUCCCGUCUCUUCAGAUGCACUAGGGAAUCCUGCGUCGGCGUGCAGCAGAACGGCGACAUACUAAACGUAUCUAGCUUAAAAAUCUGUUCGGUGAGUCGAUACAUGUGGGUGUUUUCAGGUGCUUAACGCUAUUCUGACAUGAUGGAGUUGCACAAGCCAAUAAGUGUAUGCUAACUGUUUAGCAGCCAUCUUCUUGUCUAUAAAUUCAUAUCUAACGUGAGGUGUAUGUGAAAUGGUUCCGUGUGCAUGUUUAUCUGUGCGAACGGUUUGUAUCAACGCUCCUUCUGUUCUUAAAAAUUUAAAUGUGCAUCGUCAAGCAGCUUGGUUGCAUUCAGAUUGCAAGCAUUGUGAGCACAAAAUUUCCAAGCACCUUCCAGAAACAGUAGCCAACAUCCGCAUUUUAUCAAAGAGCUUCAGAAAUCAAUCCUACCGCCAAGUACUCCGGUAUCUGCCCAUAGCUUCCAUGUCUUCGGGGAAUGGCAUCAUGGGCAAUAGUCCGACGACGCUGAAUCGCGUACUCCGCAGCACUUCUUGCAUUUUCCUUGAUAAAAUUUCGUGUCCUGGCUAGGUAUUGCAUACCCGCCCCCGAACUGCUGGAAUCACUGGAAUCCGCACUCUCCACAGUUGAGCUUCUUGAUGGUCCAACCUUUCCGGUGCCGGCAGCACGAGGGAUGCUCGCUGGCACGCCAUUUCUCCUGCUGGUUUUGAUGGCAGUGGUGGAUGAAGCGCGAC